rnacentral:SRP_RNA from 1 species
CCGUGCUAGAUGGGGAGUUAGUGGUGCCCUGUACCUACAAUCCACUAUACGUAGGGUCGAAUGCCUAUAUAGGCUUAUAGUAUGGAAGGCAGAACACAAUAAGUGAUGUUGAUACCAAGGUCUUGUGCAAUAGCACUUUGUGAACCAUGUCAGAGCUUGACCGCAGCAGCAUUAAGCAAAAUCUGUUAUGUGCCACAAGGUAGCUUUGGAGGAGUUGGCUGUUGUGUUACCGCUUCGGUGCUAUCUGUCGAAAUAGGAUGCACG